rnacentral:rRNA from 1 species
AUGGCGCUCCUCCUCCCCCGCACGGCGCGGCUCGCGCUCCUCCCCGCCGGCCGGCGAGCCUACUCCUCCACCGUCGGCGCGGCGGGAGCGGGAACAACGGCGCCAGCGCCGUACGGCGGCGCCGCGGAGUUCGUGGUGUCCAAGGUGGACGGCCUGAUGAACUGGGCGCGGCGGGGCUCGAUCUGGCCCAUGACGUUCGGCCUCGCCUGCUGCGCCGUGGAGAUGAUGCACGCCGGCGCCGCCCGCUACGACUUCGACCGCUUCGGCGUCAUCUUCCGCCCCUCGCCGCGCCAGUCCGACUGCAUGAUCGUCGCCGGCACGCUCACCAACAAGAUGGCGCCCGCGCUCCGCAAGGUUUAUGACCAGAUGCCAGAGCCUCGGUGGGUGAUCUCGAUGGGCAGCUGCGCCAACGGCGGUGGAUACUACCACUACUCGUACUCCGUCGUGCGUGGGUGCGACCGGAUCGUUCCCGUGGACAUCUACGUCCCUGGGUGCCCGCCAACAGCUGAAGCUCUCCUGUAUGGCGUUCUCCAGUUGCAGAAGAAGAUCAACAGGCGCAAGGAUUUCCUUCACUGGUGGGAGAAGUGA